GAGCUUGCUCCCUGAUGUUAGCGGCGGACGGGUGAGUAACACGUGGGUAACCUGCCUGUAAGACUGGGAUAACUCCGGGAAACCGGGGCUAAUACCGGAUGGUUGUUUGAACCGCAUGGUUCAAACAUAAAAGGUGGCUUCGGCUACCACUUACAGAUGGACCCGCGGCGCAUUAGCUAGUUGGUGAGGUAACGGCUCACCAAGGCAACGAUGCGUAGCCGACCUGAGAGGGUGAUCGGCCACACUGGGACUGAGACACGGCCCAGACUCCUACGGGAGGCAGCAGUAGGGAAUCUUCCGCAAUGGACGAAAGUCUGACGGAGCAACGCCGCGUGAGUGAUGAAGGUUUUCGGAUCGUAAAGCUCUGUUGUUAGGGAAGAACAAGUACCGUUCGAAUAGGGCGGUACCUUGACGGUACCUAACCAGAAAGCCACGGCUAACUACGUGCCAGCAGCCGCGGUAAUACGUAGGUGGCAAGCGUUGUCCGGAAUUAUUGGGCGUAAAGGGCUCGCAGGCGGUUUCUUAAGUCUGAUGUGAAAGCCCCCGGCUCAACCGGGGAGGGUCAUUGGAAACUGGGGAACUUGAGUGCAGAAGAGGAGAGUGGAAUUCCACGUGUAGCGGUGAAAUGCGUAGAGAUGUGGAGGAACACCAGUGGCGAAGGCGACUCUCUGGUCUGUAACUGACGCUGAGGAGCGAAAGCGUGGGGAGCGAACAGGAUUAGAUACCCUGGUAGUCCACGC
rnacentral:rRNA from 1 species